GGGUGAGUAACGCGUAGACAACCUGCCGUAAAGAUGGGGACAACAGUUCGAAAGGACUGCUAAUACCGAAUGUUGUAGAGUUUCUGCAUGGGAAUCCUACUAAAGGUGGCCUCUACUUGUAAGCUAUCGCUUUACGAUGGGUCUGCGUCUGAUUAGCUAGUUGGUGGGGUAACGGCCUACCAAGGCGACGAUCAGUAGCCGGUCUGAGAGGAUGAACGGCCACAUUGGAACUGAGACACGGUCCAGACUCCUACGGGAGGCAGCAGUGGGGAAUCUUCCGCAAUGGGCGCAAGCCUGACGGAGCAACGCCGCGUGAGUGAAGAAGGGUUUCGACUCGUAAAGCUCUGUUGUCGGGGACGAAUGUGGAGAUGGUGAAUAACCAUUUUCAAUGACGGUACCUGACGAGGAAGCCACGGCUAACUACGUGCCAGCAGCCGCGGUAAUACGUAGGUGGCGAGCGUUGCCCGGAAUUAUUGGGCGUAAAGGGAGCGCAGGCGGGAAGGUAAGUCUAUCUUAAAAGUGCGGGGCUCAACCCCGUGAGGGGAUGGAAACUAUCUUUCUUGAGUGCAGGAGAGGAAAGCGGAAUUCCUAGUGUAGCGGUGAAAUGCGUAGAUAUUAGGAGGAACACCAGUGGCGAAGGCGGCUUUCUGGACUGUAACUGACGCUGAGGCUCGAAAGCGUGGGGAGCGAACAGGAUUAGAUACCCUGGUAGUCCACGCCGUAAACGAUGAAUGCUAGGUGUAGGAGGUAU
rnacentral:rRNA from 1 species